rnacentral:lncRNA from 1 species
CCCUUGGUCUUUUGUAAAUCAAAUCGCAGUAAAUCAGGAAAUAUCUAAAUUUGACACCUCCAAGUACAGCAAAAAUGGACUAACAUUAUGAACAAAAUAAUUGCAUGGAAGAAGAACAAAUACCUAAAACUGUGGAUCCUGAUUAGUAGCAAAAGCUUUAAUUUACACUUUGAAAUUCCAAAUAAACAGCCGGAUUGACGAACCAGAAAUCCUCAACAUCGACCUCGUCGAAAAGAAACUCGCACCUCAUCGAACUCGAUCGAAGCUUGGCCGAAGCAUAAGGAUUGUGUUUGGACUAAUUUUCCGAAGCUAUUUUUGAAUUGUUCAGCAGCUAUUUUUCCUUUCCUUUGCUAAAGUUGUAAAAGAAUAUUUUUGAAUACUUCUAUCUUCAAUUUUAUUUAGAAGCUCAAACUUAUGUUUGAGGAACGAGAAAACAGAUCCAGUUUUGUCACUUGUUUCGUGGAGGAAGGUGGGGAUCGGCUCCUAGGGGUAGAGAUGGGGUGGGGUCGCGGAUGGAGGGUGAGGGACGAAGGAGGGUGGUCAGCGGAUUUGGGGUCACCUAGGGUUCAACUAGGGUGUUGGUUCCCUUUAGGAAGAUGAAAAUGCGAAGAGAAAGUGCGUUCCUUUGCACUGUAGCGGCUCUUUCCUCUAUUCUCC